GGUUGGCAAUUGAUGGUAUUCAACCUUCCAUUCCACUGAAUUCUCCUGUCCAAGCCAUAUCUGACCUUAAACGAUCGGAAUAUAAGGACGAUGUGUUGGCUGCUAGACAGGUGCUCUCUAAGGAGCU